CUCUCUCCACCUCCCACCCUCACUCCGAGUAAAAAAAACCCGACCUCACCUCUUCCCAUCUUCUCGUCCCCUCUGUCGCCUCCCCUCCGCGUCUAACCUCCACCACGGCACGGCCAACGAGCGUGGCCGCCGCUGCCACCCUGCUGUCCCGUGCUUUGCGUCAGCGGCGGCUUCGCUCUCCUGUGCGCCGCACGCGUCUCCCUCUCCCCCUCUCCUGAUGUGCCUCAGCAUGGAUGGGCCCCGGCCAUGGCGUGGCCAGCGUAGGGCAGAGGCAUGGCUUCGAAGUCGCUCGCCCUCAUCUUCCACCCUCUCUCCCCCACUGUGGGCGCACAUGCUGGGCAGACCAGGUGGCCUGGACGUUACCGGGAUUGGUAAAGAUCAGUCACAGGUGCUCCUGUUCCAUCUUAUUCUGUGAUUUUGUUUUCCUCUAUCUGAUUUCUCCCAACGUUACGAUUCCUGCUGUAUGGAUUGGCCUAUAAUGCCUGUGGCUCCAAUAUUUGCCUCCUCUGUGUUGAUCUGUGUGAGGACAACACCAAUUGUUAAUCUCUCCCAUUAGCUCCAUAGGAGUGCGUGUGGGUCUGCCAUUUUUCCCCUUCAUGAGCCUAUGAUGAAGAUUCCAUACUCAUUACUCAAGAAUAUGAUAUGAUGUUAAAUAUUUCUAGGUUCUAUUGUGUACUCUGAUUGACACAUUCUAUUUCUAUAAUAAUUCAAUAAUAUAUGUUCACAAGGUCUAUUUGACCUUUUCAAUACAAAAUGGUUGUUUAAGAUACUAAAAUGGGCAUCCUAUCUUAUUGGCUUAUCUGAAAAUCAUUGUUGCCUUCUUUGCCAGAUCAAUUGUUCUUCUUCGACUAAUAUGAUCUCUCCUUCAAUUGGGAAUGCGUCCAUGAACAAUCAGCGUGGACACGUUAGUAAAAAAUGGUGGUAUAUGGGUUGUGAAUUAUGCAAGAAAAGGCUACAUAAUGAAGGUGGCUCAUAUUACUGUCAGCCUUGCGAUUGCCGAAGCGCCAUACCAAUGUAUAAAUUUUCACUUAUUGCAGCCGAUGAAACUGCUGAAGCAAGAUUUUUCUGCCAUGAUAUAGUUGCUCAUCACCUCAUAUGUCGCAACUACAAUUCGCUGCUCAAACCUAUUAGCUAUCCACCAGGCUUACCUGCACAAAUGCUAGCUAUUAUCCCUAGGAAAUACAUGUUUCCUGUUGGACUAACUGUAUAAUCCUACCGUUUACCAUACGCUAGAACAUACUUGAUUGAUUCUUUUGUCUUUAGACCUGACCAAUAGCAACCUAUGUGAGCAGCUGUUCCACCUCAACAGAUGCCAACACAGCCACCAAGGGAGCAUCCACAGGUCGAACCUACCUGUGCUACUAACAAGCAUAGUAACAUUGUGGUCUGCUUUAGCACAUGAACACUCAGCUCCAACUCAUGACAAGGUCCAGAAACGUUUAUAUGGGGACUCUGCAUUAGAGUACCUUACAAGCAACUUUGCUUUAGAUCUAUGUUGCAUAUACCUCAAAUCUCCGCACUUAUUCUAUCAUAUGCAUGAAGACAAAGGUAUUGGAAAAGAUGGCGAUCAUCACACCGAAAGGAAUGCCAAGAAACACAAUAUCACUGUCGCCUCUGACUUAGCUGCAACAAUGCAAAAUUCUUAGCAUACAUGUCUCAUGCAAAAAGAUAUAAUAGAUGUCCUCCAGUCCAAUAGUCUCCUUUGCCUAAUGCCAUGAUACACCUGGUGGUUCUAAGAGUACUUUGCUCAGGCAGUCGCAAAGAAAAACCCCAAAGGAGCCUAAACAAACAUUACAAGUUUGCACUGCUACGCUUCACUUACAUUCUACAAAAACAAAGCAGUAGUAGAUACACAACUAUAGAAAGAAUUCUGCUAUUAGUGGAUACACACACCACAAAUUGUAUCUAUAAUAGUGUGCCCAAUUUUACAUUCCAGGUCUCCUUGGUAUGGAUGUGAGCCCCAUAUCAUCUUUUGCAUCAUGGAAGAAGCUUUUCUGGACAACCUGCAUUGUGUCUAUGUGUCAUCAGACCUUUUGUAGAUAGCUAUAUACUGUAUGACUACGCGUUUAGAUGGAUGGGAUGCUCAACAUUCUCCUCUAAAAUAUGGUAGCUACAAUCAGCGUGCCCCUCUGAAAUGUUGUAUGACUCAAACUCUAUGCUAACAUCAGAUUGUAAUUAUGUAUUAUUAGCAAAUCUAUAUUAGUUAUGCAAAUUAAAUGAA